UACGUAGGGGUCGAGCGUUGUCCGGAGUUACUGGGCGUAAAGCGCAUGCAGGCGGCUCAUUACGCAUGGCGUGAAAGCCCCCGGCUCAACCGGGGAGGGUCGUCGUGAACGGGUGAGCUUGAGGGUAUCAGGGGCUGGUGGAAUUCCGGGUGUAGCGGUGGAAUGCGCAGAUAUCCGGAGGAACACCAGUGGCGAAAGCGGCCUCCUGGUCCAUUCCUGACACUCAGACGCGAAAGCUAGGGUAGCAAACGGGAUUAGAUACCCGUGUAGUCCCUGA
rnacentral:rRNA from 1 species